CCUACGAGUGGCAGCAGUGAGGAAUAUUGGUCAAUGGGCGCGAGCCUGAACCAGCUAAGUCGCGUGAAGGAUGACUGCCCUACGGGUUGUAAGCUUCUUUUAUAAAGGCAUAAAGUGAGGCACUAGUGCCUUUUUGUAUGUACUUUAUGAAUAAGGAUCGUCUAACUCCGUGCCAGCAGCCGCGGUAAUACGGAGGGUCCGAGCGUUAUCCGGAUUUAUUGGGUUUAAAGGGAGCGUAGAUGGGUUGUUAAGUCAGUUGUGAAAGUUUGCGGCUCAACCGUAAAAUUGCAAUUGAUACUGGCAGUCUUGAGUACAGUUGAGGUAGGCGGAAUUCGUGGUGUAGCGGUGAAAUGCUUAGAUAUCACGAAGAACUCCGAUUGCGAAGGCAGCUUACUAAACUGUGACUGACACUGAUGCUCGAAAGUGUGGGUAUCAAACAGGAUUAGAUACCCCUGUAGUC
rnacentral:rRNA from 1 species